AGCAACCGUACCGCAGCCUAACAGCUGAUUGGUCGUUCACUUCAGUUCCGAAAGUGACCCAACCAAUUGGCUGGCAUCUUAAAAGAAUCUACGCCAGAGCAUAUGUGGAGUAACAAAGGAGCCGUUUAAAUGUAAACGCGAGAUCAGUCACGUAGUUACAUCAUGAGGCUUCCACAUGAUCUUUCGAAAUGUUCUGGCCCUUUGGAUGACCUCCAUAGAACGUCACUAAUAACUUUCGUUGCUGUGUCAAGAUGCUUCAAAAGGAGAAGCCGGUGUUAGCUCGUCGCUAGACGCCGAGCAAAUUCAUAUUUUUAUGGACACGAAUAAAAAGAUGGAUCGAUGACAGAUAGUACAAAGAAUACUUUGCCUAAUAUUUACCUAACACUUUGUAUGUUUCGCACAUUAUGUAAAUUCUGCAUAAGUUCAUUUAAGUUUCACAUAAAUGCAUGAGUAUUUACGGUCUGUUUAUCGUCAUACAGUAGCUACAGAAAGUAUUUGUACGUACUCUUUCAUUUUUCAAUUAAAUGUUCCUUAA